AUAAUAACUGGAGCGGCUAUCUCUCAAAAUUUGAUUCAAGUUUGUUUUUGCGUUUGAAUUUCGUGUCAGAGUAAUCAUAUAGACGCAUUUACAUGAAUUUUGAAAAUUUUUGUCCAGAAGAAUCAUCGCAAAGUUAUAUCUUUUGGACUGACAAGUGACCAAAGAUCUACUGUUGAUACAUUCACAGGACCAAAUUCCAGCACAGUAUCCCCAAGACACUGUCUUUCUGUAAAUGCAUUUAUUCGUUGUCUUGGAGUCAGAAACAAUGAAUUGUAUGUCAACUGUUUGCAAGUAUCAGUGUAGGUGCUAUAUUAUUUAAAAACAUAGUGCAUCAAGAUACAUUCACAAUUUCAGCUCGUUUUGCAAUGAAUCACUGACCUUUCUUGUUGUUGCAAGUUGUUGAUUGGCGGUACUUCAGCUCUUUCUUGUGAUGCCUGGAUUUCUUCUGUUUCACUCUCAUACAACAAUUCUUGCUCAACUGGCUCUUCAAGUGCAUUCUGGGACGUAAAUUGGAAAUUGCGUUUUUCUCCACGAAUCACAGCUGCACUUUGGAACACUGAGAUUGAUUUCAUACCAUAUAGUUUUGUCUGAU